GGAGACUCUGAGUCCCAAGAAGGGCAAGGCGCUUGCCUGGUCUGAAGGGGAGGUGGAGUUGAAAUCAGUGCACUCCAUCUAACACCUCCUGGGGCCUCCCCAUCCCAACCUCCUCUUCCCCCAACUCCAUUGCUGUGGGCAUGAGAGGGGAAGAGAGGGAGAAGGUGAAUUAUGACGCUGAGGGCAAAGGAAGUCCCAGGUGCCUGUACCUGGGGGAAUGAACUGGUAUGGAGUUGGCAAGAGGGCACAAGGAGGAAAUGGAGCCACAAGGCAAGACGAAGGAAGGAAAUUCUGUAGGUGAGCACAGCGGCCACAGGAGAGAGCACCGACUCUCAUGGCCUUGGUGUGUGGGGCUUAAAACCCACUGUCUUCAGAGAUGAAAUGGCUCUGGAGCCAUCCACGCCACGGCUGCAGUCUUUCUGAUUGAUAAGCCUAACCCUUCCUUUUUGAAUGCCCUAAAAAAUUCAUUUGCAUUCGGAAGCAUGUCUAAUGUCAAGAUGAUCAAAUGUAUUUUAAGGGUGGAAAAGAAGUACUUGUGAAGAAAGAUAAAAUGAAUCAGGAUUAUUUUGCCUAGAGAAAGUCAAUAAGUAAUCCAACAAUUAUCUUCUUUACCCAGAAGCUGGCAGGCAGCUAGUCAACACUUCCAAAGAAGACAGAAAAAGAUAAAGCAGUCCAGUGGCAGAAAAGUAUGAACUUCCUAACUAGAGGGCUGUGCACACUCAUGUGGGCACCAGCAGGGCUCCUGGCCGCAUGCACAGUGAUAUUGCGCUGCUCCGUGUACACAGCCCAGGAUGGCACUUGCUUUAUCAGAAGUGUCGCCGCCCAGCUGAGACAUACUGAAGCGGUCCAAGCGCAGGCCCGACGUGCCCAUAAUGCCAUGGAGUGUAGAGAGUAAGUGUAUAAAACUAUGCCUGUCCGGAGGUGGGAAUGCUAUCUCUACUUACUAAAGUCCAAAAGAACCCCAGGAAACAAAGAGAGCCCCAUCUCAAACAGGGUGUGCCAGGAAACAGAAGCAAAGCAGGACUUCAAUUCUGGCUUAUUAGUACACUCAAAGUGAGCUGCUUCCCCUUCUCGUACACCUCAGUUUCCUUUUCCAUAGAGAAGCAGUGCUCAUGCUUGGCCGCUGGCGACAGAGUUCCACAGCUAACUUACGAAGGACGUCCUCCCAGCUCUUGAGUGCGAUCUCUACAGGUGUGCCCACAGCCUGCCUGAGUUAGCCCACCAUCCAGAUCACACGACGGCUGUGCCGGACAGCUGUCUCUCUCUACAGACACUCUGAGGUUCAUUCUAAUAUGAGAACACUGGCUCCUAGCUGACAUCUCUACAACCACAAGGUGUGUGUUUAGCUGAAGUCUGACCACAGAUAGGCAUGAUUACCUGGUUAAAUUCUCCAGAGUGUGUUCUCUGUGAAAUCAGACACACUGCAUUCAGCAUUGGGAAACAAGAGCUGAGAAGGAAAGGCACACACAUCCAAAGACAAGAAUGGAAAAUCUGGAAACCCAGCCCUGACAUCGCAGUGCUCAGAGAGAUGAACAGUUAACACAGUCGGAAUGAAGCAAGAGGAACAUACGUUUGGGUAUCGGGUCUGAGGCCUCGGAACCAGCGCCUUCCCCGGGAAAGCUGAGAGGCUCCACCACGUCUGUGUCGGGAGGAGGGUAGGGCGGGGGUGGGGGAAGCACUAACUGGGGUGGACCCCGAGCAGUGCCUCUGGGAGGCUUUUGUGGCACCUGCCGUCCACCACCUAUAUGGAAUCAACAGGGAGUUACUUCAGCAGGUUAAACCAAGCCGUCACUCACUAGGCACCAAAUCCAACCUCACUGGGCACCAGAUCCAGCCACACUCAACACCAGAUCCAGCCACACCUAACACCAGAUCCAGUCAUAUCCAGCACCUAAUCCAUUCUCAUCUGGCACCAACCACAUCCAACCACACUCACACUUUAACAUUUUACAUACGUAGUGUUCUAUCAUUGGAGCAGUUUGGAAAGAUGUGCCUGGUUGCAAUUUCUUUUUAACAGACACAACUACAUAAAUGCUGGGCUUGAAAACUAUUCUUCAACACCCUCGACAGAGCUUUGUCAAGUUUAAAGGAACUCCUUUUAUUAAUGUUAGUCUUUUUCAGGUUCACAGAUCUGUUUUUAGCCUACUCUUGUUGCUUUUCUAGAGCCACUGACCUAUUCUGGCUAGAUUAAGCAUUCAUUUAGCUUAUCUCCUGAGUCCAUUUAUACUUUUCAACCCCUUUGGUUGUUUAGAAUAAUAGUUCUCCAAGUUUGUUUUGAAGAAUGUCCUGAGUUGUAGAGAGGGUGGGGAUGUUGUCCCAAGCACAUGGGACACAAGGACUCAGGCCUCCAGGGCGGAAUCAGGGGGUCCUGCCCUGGGUUGAAGUGACUGGCCUAGGGAUUGGCACGAUCCAACCACAUACAGCCAUUUACAGUGGAUGCCACUUAAAAUUUAAACCAGGGGCUUUUGUCCAUUUAUGAAAAAUGGGGAGAGAGCUUGGAAGGGAGAAUGGGGGGCUCUUCACGAAACAGGAGAAAACCAGGUUUAUUUUAAUGAUCCACUGAUAAUGUUUUCUUUCAGUCCUUUGGGAAAGAGGAUGAGCUGACAUGGAAUACAGGUUAUUGCUUCUUAAGGUAACUGACUCCCAGGCUGAAAUGCUAACACAUUAAAAGCGAGGAACUGACUAAGGGGAAAGACGCUGACAAACUGCCACGGAGCUCUCACUAAAGGUCCAGAAACUGCCAAGGCAGCCACUUAUCUCAGAAGGACUUUCCCUCCUGCAGCUGCAGACCUUAGGGCAAAGGCAAAACGCGGGGCUGCCUGGGUGGGUUAAAGGGCAUGGUGAGUGGCCUGUGAGUGCUGGUGGCUUCGUCGUGAGCACUGACACACGCCAUUCUUGGGGCUCUCAGCUCAGGAAGGUGUGACUCCUAGGCUGCCAUUUUCCAACCACUCCAUGGAAGAGCCAUUUCUGUUCCAACAUAAGUGAAAUAACAAAUGCUGAAUGAUUUAAAAAGAAAAUGAACCCUUGACUCCCCUGGACCUGGACAGCGCCAUCAUUCAGCUUCUCUCCACCUCGCCUGUAGCACGAGGGGUGGGCUAUGAUGAUCUAAUAGGUCUCUUUCUGCUCACAGAUAGUAUAAUUCCAUCUUCUUUCCUCUGGGCUCUCUUUCCCUCAAAGAAAAUCAGGGUCUUUGCUAAAUGUGUACCAGGUAAUAUAAGUGGAGAUCAAUUUCAAACAGGAUGGUCCAAAAAUUACUGAGCUGAUGUCAACUUGUCUAUACAUCACCUGUGGCCUAAGAUCUCUUUGAAAUGCCAAAUGUCCUUCAAAGCAGUUUCCACGAUGUCACCCUAGGAACUUCUCCUUUUGCCAUCAGAGACACACGUCGCACACUCACACUCACAGGCUUUCCAUUUUCACCCUCUCCCGGCUCCUGCAGCCGUUUCUCCCCUUCCACCGUCCCCCGCCUCCUAAAUGCUCACAUAAUGCCCACCAAAUACUGCUAGUAAGAUAUGAAGUGAACUUGCAAUUAUUUCUUUCCAGCCCUUCUUUCUUUAGCAUUAAUAUUUUUUGGGUUAAUGUCAUUAUGGAUGAGGCCACUGCAGGAGUUCACAUCAGAGCUGACAUUCCAGGACAGAGCAAGCAUCCCCGCAUGCAGACGGCAGGCCGAGCCUCACUCACCCAUCGUGCUCUUCCUGUUCUCCUCCUUAUCCUCAGUGCGGUUGGGGAUCAGGGGACUCGGUGGUGGUGGCUGUGGUGGAGGGGGAGCUGGCGCUCGCCGCUUCUUCUUCUGUAAAUCAAUCUGUGACCCAAGAGAUACCUAUGAAGUACAAAGAAGGAAAGUACAAUCAAAGUACUUUGUACCUAUGAAGUACAAAGAAGGCAGUAUUAGGGUGAUUGUGCUGGGGCAGGGACCUGCACCGGAAGGUGGUGCUCCAGGAGGGUUGUUAGAUGGCCAGUUCCCUUUCCAGGUCCUCCCACACAGGCAGGGGAGGCCAUGAGGCGAGAGACCAGCGGAUGUCCAAGGAGUGGCCUGGAGGUGGCACAGUGUUGCUCAUAGACACCCCAAAGACCCCUAUGAGCAGGGAGCUCAUAUUUUCUAGGGACUCCAGGCAAGUCUGGAGAGUUGGUAAACUUCCCUGUCACACAAGAGAAUGAGACCCAUAGUCCUUCAUUAAAUGUAAGGAGAACAAUUCCUUCUGGAACAGGAUGGGCUGCCGUGAAUUGUGAUCACACAGAGGAAGAGCUGAUGGGGGCAGCUCAGACCUCACCCUGCUCUGACUUAGGUUUGUUUCCCUGACUGCAUGUUCACGUUCCAGAGCAGCUGCAGCCAAGACUAUCUAAUGGUCCACAGGUGGACACAUCUUGAUCCAGAAUCGCAAUGAAGUUUCUUAGUAUAUGGGUUAUUAGAUCGGUGUAUGGGACAUUAGCCCCCAACCACAGCAGAAAUCCAGCUCCUGCUCACAGCUUUCAACAGUGAAAGACACACAGCUUCUAAAGGCAGCUCAUGAAUACUGGGCAGGUCUAAUUGCUGAAUGUGAAAUCUGUUUUGUCUGUAAAAUUGAAUUCACUGAUUCCAUUUCUUUGUUUCUGAAGGACUACAUAAUCCUACUCUCCUCUCCUCCUCAUUAGGGCGAAAGUUUUUAUUCGUUCACUCUCAUUGAUUAAAAUUCAUUGAUUAAAGAACAUUGUGUAUAGAGCAGUGCAGAGUAUGUGCAAAGAAUGGGCCAGGCAUGGUGGUGGACACUUGUAGUCUCAGCUACUCAGGAGGCUGAGGCAGGAGAAUCGCUUGAACCCAGGAGGUGGAGGUUGCAGUGAGCCGAGAUCACGCCACUGCACUCCAGCCUGGGUGAUGUAGCAAGACUGUGUCUCAGAAAAAAAAAAAAAAAAAAAAAAAAAAGAAUGAACAUGGUGACUAUCAUAUGACAAGAGCUGUCCUGCUCUCUAGUAGCUCAGAGCCAAGUCUGUACCUCCAGUCCAAGUACUUCCUGGCCUUCCAAGGGCUCAUCAUAGGAAUGGUGCCUGCAACACCCUGCCUCUGCCACUUCAACUCUGACCUUGGUGCUCUCUGGUUUAUUAACUCAUGCUUGCACCAUGUGUACCACGUAUAUGGGAGAGAGAAAGGGGGAGAGAGACAAUGAGAGGGAGAGAGAGAGAGAGAGAGUGUGUGUGUGUAAAAAGUCUCCUUUUAAUUUUUAUCAGCAGUACACAUUUAUUGCAAAAAAGUUAAAAAAUAUAUGUAAAAGGAAGAACAUAAUCACUUUAUUAAUACUCAAACUACUAACAAUUGGCAUGUUUUUCUAGACUAUUUUUUCUUCUAAAAAUAUUUUUUUCUUUCCUUCUGUUAUAGUAUAUUAUAACCACCUCCUAUACCUCUAAAAUUCUGUAAUAUAUUUUACAUAAAACAUGGACAUAACAGAAAGUAAAUAACCCCAUAAAGAUGAGUCAAAACCAGCAAUUUAUUGUCCACCACCCCCUCUCCAGCAGUAAGCAUUUCACAUUUUUUUUUUGGCAUUUAUUCCGUUUUUCUAAAUAAGAAGCUUAUUGUACUGUUUCUUGAUUUUUCCAUGUUAGGUAUUGGCAUCUACUCCAGAAGAUGAGGAUUUGGUUCUUUAAGACACACACAUACACACAAACACACACACACACACACAGAGACAUACACACACACACACACGCACAGACUCAUACUUUUCCUCUCC
rnacentral:lncRNA from 1 species